rnacentral:rRNA from 1 species
UACGGAGGGUGCAAGCGGUGUUCGGAAUUACUGGGCGUAAAGCGCGUGCAGGCGGUCGGGCAAGUCAGAUGUGAAAGCCUUCCGCUUAACGGAAGAAGUGCAUUUGAAACUACCCGGCUGGAGUACUGGAGAGGGGAGUGGAAUUUCCGGUGUAGAGGUGAAAUUCGUAGAUAUCGGCAGGAACACCAGUGGCGGAGGCGGCCCGCUUGUCCUGUACUGACGCUGAGCCGCGAAAGCGCGGGGAGGAAACACG